rnacentral:rRNA from 1 species
UGAAAUCCUCUGGCUCAACUGCGGGCGUGCAGUGGGUACGGGCUGGCUUGAGUGCGGUAGGGGAGGCUGGAACUCUGGUGUAGCGGUGGAAUGCGCAGAUAUCAGGAAGAACACCGGUGGCGAAGGCGAGUCUCUGGGCCGUUACUGACGCUGAGGAGCGAAAGCGUGGGGAGCGAACAGGAUUAGAUACCCUGGUAGUCUACGCUGUAAACGUUGGGCACUAGGUGUGGGGGCCACCCGUGGUUCCCGCGCCGUAGCUAACGCUUUAAGUGCCCCGCCUGGGGAGUACGGCCGCAAGACUAAAACUCAAAGGAAUUGACGGGGGCCCGCACAAGCGGCGGAGCAUGCGGAUUAAUUCGAUGCAACGCGAAGAACCUUACCACGGCUUGACAUGUGCCCCGGGCGCGCGGAGACGCGCGCACAUUUGGUUGGGGGUGUGCAGGUGGUGCAUGGUUGUCGUCAGCUCGUGUCGUGAGAUGUUGGGUUAAGUCCCGCAACGAGCGCAACCCUUCCCCUAUGUUGCCAGCGCGUUGUGGCGGGGACUCGUGGGGGACUGCCGGGGUUAACUCGGAGGAAGGUGGGGAUGACGUCAAAUCAUCAUGCCCCUUAUGUCUUGGGCUUCACGCAUGCUACAAUGGCCGGUACAGAGGGUUGCGAUGCCGUGAGGCGGGGCGAAUCCCUUAAAGCCGGUCUCAGUUCGGAUUGGGGUCUGCAACUCGACCCCAUGAAGGUGGAGUCGGUAGUAAUCGCAGAUCAGCAUCACUGCGGUGAAUACGUUCUCGGGCCUUGUACACACCGCCCGUCACGUCACGAAAGUUGGUAACGCCCGAAGCCCAUGGCCCAACCGGCUCUUGCUGG